rnacentral:snRNA from 1 species
GGAUGCGAGGGUGAUCUGGCUGCAACAUCUGUCACUCCAUUGAUUGCCAGGGUUGACUUGGCUGAUCCAGCAGGCUAGGUGGGUGUCUCCUUCCGCCUUCACCUCUCCAUGCAUGUCCCUCCUGAAGCUGCAUGCUUGGUGAAAGAGGGCAACCAUCCCAGAUAGGAGGAGUGUGUUGUUCUUUAGUCAAGGGUAUACUAUAGCUGUGCCCCCCUGCUAGAAUCUCCAAACAAGGUUUUCUGAAAACUGAAUUUCUUGGUAUUUUAACAUUGAAGCUUAUGCACACAUUGCAUACAAAUUCAAAUCAGUAUCUCCUUAUUUU